rnacentral:misc_RNA from 1 species
GUGGUUCUUGGGCAUGAUAAAGUGAUGGGAUAUGCCGGUUUGUAUCAAGCCGAGCAGGAGGUAGCCGUCUUAGAACAGUCAUCCAGGCAUCAUCCCGGGGCCAACCUACCNNNCUUUGCCUUCCGUGGGAAAUAUCAGAAGCCGGGUUUUGGAAGGGGAUUUCUUUCCACUUUGCUCUGCAAACUGGACAAAUCUGGUUCCCAUGUUUUACAUUAGAGGUAAUACAAUGGAA